AGCUUAUUUCACUGCCUUUUUUUCUUUCUUCUUUUUUUUUUUUUUUGAAGGUUGCCACUCAAAAGCUCAAGCCUCCUGCGGCAUGGAGCUGCAGCAAAGCCAGGGUGCCGCGUCAGAGCCUCCAGGUCUUGCGUAGGUGUUGUGGCGAGCAGGACGCACGUUGACUCUGCAGAGGCAAUACAGCAGUGGAAAAUGAGAUUGAUCCUAUUCUGCCUCCCACAUCCUCGUUUGGCUAACGCGCCAGCGCCAGGCUCCUCGGAGGUUUCCACGCAGCCUUUUGCUCCCCCGCGCAUCGCCGUUGCCUUGCAGGAUUUUCUGUGGUGCUCCCCAGCAGAUGGUAAACGUGCACGAAUUUUUCAAGCAAAGACCGGAGCAGUGCAAGAGUGCCUGUGCCAACACUAAUCUGACUUCCUCAGAAUUACACCCACAUGGCUUUGCCUUCAGGGGAAGAAAGCACCCAAGACAAUCUCCUGUGAAGAGAAAGAAGAGCAAUCAUGCAAUGAUGGAGUAUUGCCACUAUUUUUUGUUACCUUUUUUUCCCUUUUACAUCUAUCUGAUGUUACUGAUGGCACAGUGGCAGGCAUAGCAAGUAGGCUGGAGAGGAAAGAGCGUGCAAAAAUUACAUUAAAUAUUGUGUCGGUAACUAAAUUCUCUGUACUCCCAUUUUUCCUUGCUCCACAUUAUAUUUUCCAACCUAGACAGAGACUCUCAAGGGUACCAGCGGAGUCCACCCUCCAAAGUCAUGUAAAACAGGGCAGGGCAGUACACAACAGAAUACCGCAGGGACCAAUCCUGCUUUAGCAGGAAAGCACACUAUAAAGACCUACCUGCUCUUUUCCACCUCCGGUUUCUGUGAUCCAGACAACCGGCAGAACUCCUUCAUGUAUUUGCUUUGGUAGUACAUUAAACACUGGGUCUGCCUGUUAAAGCGAUGCUGCCUGCCCACACUGUGGGUGAGUGCAAUGUGUGCAGCCGGCAUUUCCCAGGGAUGUUUGUUCACACGUUAAGUCCAAGCUGGAAAUGCAAAGCAAAGGAGCAAGGAGUUACACUGAUGCAGUUAAUCAGACUGCAAACCUCAGCAUCUGGCAGCCAGAAAUGUCAGGCGUUAUAGAUGAGCAUCCAGGUUUUCAGUACUGGAAGACAAAACUUGCUAAAGAAAAUAGUUCUGAUAAAGAAAUUUGCCUCAUAUUUCCCCAAGCACCUGCCAUGCAGUUUAGCUUUAUCACAGUGAAGUAAUGAUGGCUGCACUUCUCCAUUACUGUUUUCACUUGAAUUUCUCUAAUAUGAUUCCUUGGUGAGGGAUUUCCAAAAGCAAGAUUACAACAGGAUGGAAAAAAUAAUUACAAUGUCUUUUGAAAUGUUGCUUUUUUUGGUCAAACGUAAGCUGUGAUCAAGGUUAGUGAUCGGAGGAGGUGCUGCUCAGACGAUGCUCCCCCGCGGCUCCUGCCCUGCCAAUGCUCCAGCCAAGCGGGACCCCCGUCCCUGCAACACCACCCACUAGCAGCGCUCAUCGGGCUGGUCUCCUGCAGGAGAAGGAGUCAGGCUCAAGUGGCUCUUCCAGGAGAACUAGCUCAAACCCCACCUGCCUCGUCCAGGCCAGCUUUCUGCUGAAGACACCUGGCCCAAAAGUGGUUGGAGCAAUCAUGUCUUCAGGGAAGCUGCUGCUGACCAGCCCUGCCUGACCCGCAAGUUAUUUUGAUCCCAACAGCCAUGAUCGGUAUGAGGAAAAACCGUCCUUGAAUCUUGGAUCUGUGGCCGCAGUCCCUCCUUCAGCUUUUUGGUGGCACUAACAGGAGCUGGCAUCUCUGGGAGCUCCUAGUGCUGGAUGGCCCAGCUGAAUCUGCAGCACAUGUGUGGCUUGAGUGAACUACUCAGAACAGUAAAUAUCACUAUAAUCUUUAUACAGUUAAUCCUGCCAAACCGUAGGAAGGCAAGUAACAAUUCAGCAUCAGCAAUAGCCUUAACACUGCUACCAUGCUGCUACCAUUGACACAAGAAGUUUACAAUGCUGUGGCAGACGUUUAAAGGAUAGCAGUGUACCAUACAUCUCAAAUAGUUUCUGUUCUGUUCAGUUUCUGUUCAAUCCUUGGGCAAUUAAACCCCAGACAGCAGAAGGAAUUUCACACAGUAUUUCCAAAUUCAGCCUAUUUAGACUGAGCUGGGUCAAUCUAAUUUAAUCCCUGUUUCUUUCUUCUGACUGUAGAAACAGAAUGAGGAGCCAGGAGAUAUCAAACAAAAGAUGCAGGGUUUGACUGUCCUCACAUGGUACCUGUUCUGAAAGUGAGCUUCCUGGAUCUGAACGUUGCAGAGCAGGCAGACAACGGCGCUGGAGAAAGACGCAAUAGCCACAAGCUUAUUUCUGAAAUUAAUCCAUAACAUCUUUUCAUAUCAGAGAUUGUGAGCAGCCAACAACUUUCCAAGGUUACUAUUCAUUCAGAGUUAUCUCCCACGUAAUUUCUGUAACUCAAGAAUUGCUCAUUAUCAAGAAUUAAUACUUAAUAACCAUCUGAAAUUUUGGCUGUGUUUACUGGCUAUAUGGAUUGCACCAUUUUGUUUCUGGUCACAACUGGAACGGUGCAAUUCUUUUUAAAAAAAGGAAGAAAGAGGUUGGGUGUAAAUGCUGACAGCAAUGCCUUGUUUGUCUUUUGCUAUGCAUUUCCUAGUAACUGUUUAAUCCAAAAUUAUUGUAAAUAUUCAUGCAGUUAUCAGAUAACAUGCAGAAUACCAGAAGGCUCAAAGAAAGGAGAAGAGUAUUUUUAUUGGACUGAGCAGCCAUGGGCACUUCUCAAAGUCCUUGCCCACUAACUGUAGAUGGAUCCAAGUCUCCCAGCACUCCGCGCGGAAACUUUUGGGUGCUCUCUGGCGCUGGGCAGGUCGCUCACGGCUGCAGAGGCCCCAGACCGGGGAGCCCUGCGGGGAAACAUGGUGGCCCCCACCAGGGCUCGCAAUCCCCCAUCGCCAGCCCACGCUGCCGGCUGCAGCACAGCAAGCGCAGCGGGGAAGCAGCCGCUGCCGAGGCCCCCGGUGAUGCCCGCAACACCCUUGCCGAGCGGUGGGAGAGGCCCGGCGCGGACCAGAGCCCCGGCCACGCACCUGGCCCUGCGCGCCCGCAGUCCUCACGUGACGGCUUGCGUGAAAUCAAAGGAAUCACUCCCGUGAAACAAUGUUUUGCAAGGAGAGCCAGGCUUCGAGCACGUAGAGUUGGCAGCAAUGGCGCUUAGAUACAGUUUUCCAUUCCAUGUUCCUGUUCGAGUUGCUUCUAGUUUUAACUGUUCAGGUUCUUUAGUUUCCAUGCUUGAU